rnacentral:misc_RNA from 1 species
AAAACGGGGACUUGACGAGAACGUGAAGAGAAUUGGAACUUAUCCUUAAAAGCAGCUUGAAGUCAUCUGAAGAAUGUUUGGCCACACUACUGGUGUAACUGUCAGCCUCCUUGUGGCUCUGUGUUCGUUUGCAGUCUAUACCUACGGCCAGAAUGAGCCUGAAGUAAACACCAAUCUUCUAAGACAGAUCCUUCAGGAAGAUGUGGACUUACUCAACGAGUUAGAUCAACUCACUGAUGACAAGAAAGACACCGAGUCCCACGAUUGGCUGCCAGACGGAACUCUAGAGGACAGCGAAAGCACCGUACAAAAGCGUCUUUUUGGACACGGAACGAAACCUGCGCAGAGAAAACGUUUACUUGGAAUUCGUACAAUUACAGAAAAAUCGGCUCCUCAAUCUAAACGAUUACAGUUUAGGAGACCUCCACAAAAUAAACGACCAUUUUGUAAUUUUUAUGGGUGUUAGUAGCGUACCAUCAGAACCCCGUUUUCUCUUUGUCCGUUGAACAUGAGUGCAUCAAGAGAACAAAAAGUUUCAGCAGUGAUUCGAUGAAAGCUUAACCUUGUCCUAUUUAUCAUCAGGGACAUGCUUCAUUUUCAUCUAUUAGAGUGCUUGAUCUAAUUGUGUUUUUACAUUACCUUUGGUUCAUAAUAAAACAUCACCAAAAU